CCAGCUGAGCCCCAGGAUUGCCCUGUCCCCACAGGGGAGGGGACGAUGCUGCUGCUGGAGCUGGGCAUGGCCCCAACAUCCUGCACAACAUGCCCCAGGCUGCAGAGUCGCUGUCGUGGCUCAUCCUCUGGAUAUGAACGAGGGUCAUGCACACUGUGGAAUUCAUAGCAACCCUGUUCUACAUAGGAGUAGCCACCCCUUCUGAUGGCCUUUGAGCUGUUCCAUCUGCUCUAUGGUCAACGAAGCUCAGCAGAGCCACCAUGGAUAUGAACCUUCCUGAUGGGCUGCCUAUGUUGUAAAUAACAACGGUCAAUGGGAUGGUACCUAACGGUCAGUGGACCAGUGGAACACUGGAAUGUUGAGAGCUCUGCAAUCACCUAUGGAACAAGUCAAACCAGCCCAAUCCAGUUUGUUCAGGAACCUACUGUGCAGCUUAGAUGAAAACAACACUGUAUAUGGAAGAUCGGGAUGAAAACUCCGAAGUUCAGUGGCUCAAUGACCCCCACAGGGGUCCCUAAAGACCCCCCAAGAAGACCCUCUGAGACUGACUGCAAAGACUGAAGAGACUUAACAAAUUAGAUCCAUGUAUCACCUCGAGCCAAUCGUGCAUGGCAGGCAGAGUCAUCCUCCCCUGCAACCAGCGCUGCACCGAUGUGGGGAAGAGCUCAAUGUAGCGACCUGGUCCCAAGGCUGAGCUGGGGAAAGUCAGGGAAUGACAGGAGAAACCCCGGAGGUGCCCCUGUGCUACAGGACGCUGAUGCUGGGGCGAGGUCUCUGGACCAAAACUUCACCUGGUCCUCUAAGUAAAGAUGUUGUUUCAG